rnacentral:lncRNA from 1 species
CGCGCUCGCAGCCUCCCUCCUCUCCCGCCGCGCCCCUCCCUCGUGGGCUGCGGCCCGUGGGAAAAGCCCUGGGAGCGCUGGGGUGGGAGGCCGGCGGCCGGGUGGCGGGCAGCAUCCCUGCCUCAGGUGGCCGCGACCGCAGGCCGGGGCGCUGCUCAGGGCCGAGGCCGCGCUCUGAGGAGGCGCGCAGGCGGCUCCCCCUCCCCCUCGGCGGUCUCCCCUCCCCCUGCCCUCCUCCCCGCGGCCCCUCCCUGGGGUUUGCGCUUUAACCGCCCUCCCUGCUGUCCCUCGCAGGCGCGUCGGGACACCCCGAGGCAUCCUCCCCCGCCCGCGGGCCCGCCAGUCCCAGCUCGCGUCGGUGCUCGCAUCUACUGAUCGCGGCUGCGCUGCUCCCCCUUCUGGUCUUGGGACUCCCGGCGUCGCCCCUCAAACAUGACUCGCGAUUUCAAACCUGGAGACCUCAUCUUCGCCAAGAUGAAAGGUUAUCCUCAUUGGCCAGCUCGAGUAAGUGAUUU